UUUAAAAAUUCCUGCAUGUGUGAGUCGCUGAAGCACUCCCUGCGGUUCCCCCUUUUUUUGAAAACAAAGGAACGGUGGGAUUUGCAAUUUGGGUUUUUUUUGUACGGCGCCUCAAUGAGUUUGUAUCACUGUGGUACACGUUCGGUGGAGGAACCAGACUGAAUGUUGGAAGUGAUACCCGUCCCAUCCUGACAGUGUUGCCCCUCCAGUGAGGAGCUACAGCAGGGGACUGCAACAAUCACAUGUCUGGCCAACAAGGGCUUCCCCUCAGACUGGAGUCUGUCCUGGAAGGUGGAUGGCAGUGGCAGCAUCAGCUGGGAGGAGAGCAGGAGCCCCGUGGUGCUGCAGAAUGACGGCCUCUACAGCUGGAGCAGCACCCUGAGGCUCCCUGCAGACCGCUGGAUGAAGGUGGGCUCUGUGACCUGUGAGGCCACCCAGGGCUGCCAGACUCUGGUCUCAGAGCCACUGAGGAGAGUCCAGUGUUCCCAGUCCUGACCUGACUCAACCUGAUACUGGUUUAAUGCUCUCAUUCUCAACUCUGUAACUGUCUCUCCAUCUUUCUUUUUAAAGAACAAAUAAAGACUAAAACUGUUAUUUUCUUUCUCAUAAUGACAACAUUCAUGUUUUAGGUAAUAAAGAUGUUUUGCAAAGU